UGGGGAAUAUUGGACAAUGGGCGAAAGCCUGAUCCAGCCAUGCCGCGUGUGUGAAGAAGGUCUUCGGAUUGUAAAGCACUUUAAGUUGGGAGGAAGGGCAGUAAGCUAAUACCUUGCUGUUUUGACGUUACCGACAGAAUAAGCACCGGCUAACUCUGUGCCAGCAGCCGCGGUAAUACAGAGGGUGCAAGCGUUAAUCGGAAUUACUGGGCGUAAAGCGCGCGUAGGUGGUUUGUUAAGUUGGAUGUGAAAGCCCCGGGCUCAACCUGGGAACUGCAUCCAAAACUGGCAAGCUAGAGUACGGUAGAGGGUGGUGGAAUUUCCUGUGUAGCGGUGAAAUGCGUAGAUAUAGGAAGGAACACCAGUGGCGAAGGCGACCACCUGGACUGAUACUGACACUGAGGUGCGAAAGCGUGGGGAGCGAAACAGGAUUAGAUACCCCUGUAGUCCCUGAGCGGGCUGGCAAGGCGCAU
rnacentral:rRNA from 1 species